rnacentral:rRNA from 1 species
CCCUUAGAUGUUCUGGGCCGCACGCGCGCUACCCUGAUGCAUUCAACGAGUCUAAAACCUGGUCUGAUAGGGCUGGGUAAUCUUUUGAAAGUGCAUCGUGAUUGGGAUAGAUGAUUGCAAUUCUUCAUCUUCAACGAGGAAUGCCUAGUAAACGCAAGUCAUCAGCUUGCAUUGAUUACGUCCCUGCCCUUUGUACACACCGCCCGUCGCUCCUACCGAUUGAAUGAUCCGAUGAAUACCAUGGAUUGAGAGUACGAAUGGGUUCGCUCAUUUCUGCUGCUCGAGAAGUGGAGUAAAUCUUAUCAUUUAGAGGAAGGAGAAGUCGUAACA